UACGUAGGGCGCGAGCGUUGUCCGGAAUUAUUGGGCGUAAAGAGCUCGUAGGCGGCUUGUUGCGUCUGCUGUGAAAUCCCGGGGCUUAACCCCGGGCGUGCAGUGGAUACGGGCAGGCUGGAGGCAGGCAGGGGAGAAUGGAAUUCCCGGUGUAGCGGUGAAAUGCGCAGAUAUCGGGAGGAACACCGGUGGCGAAGGCGGUGCUCUGGGCCUGGUCUGACGCUGAGGAGCGAAAGCGUGGGGAGCGAACAGG
rnacentral:rRNA from 1 species